UCGCAUCCCUUAAACCCUUACAUUCAAGAGAAAAGCAAAUUAAAGUAUCCUGCACAGCCUUGCUCUUUGUUUUUGUUCCCCCAAAUCCCAUUCCUUAAACCCUUACACUCUCGCUCCACAACAACCAUGGCGAGUCAGAUCUUGUGUCGACUCUUCCCCAAAACCCUAACCUUAACUGCUAUCUACUCUCGCUCCCUCUCCACAGCCUCCUCAACUCGCGACGUCCUCCUCCCCCCUUCCUCCCGCGCUCUCUCAACUCACGACGUCCUCCUUCCCCCUUCCUCCCGCUCUCUCUCAACUCGGGCCACCAUAGGACCUAGCCCUAACUGUUCCGCCCUUAAGUUGCGUAAUGGCUGCGAUUACUACCAGCACCUCGUUGUUAUGCAGCACCACAUAUUGGCUUCUUCAGACGCCUCUUAAAAGGUGAACCCACCUGGGAGGCAAUCGUCCAUAGUUAUGUCAAAAUACUGGCUGACCUUGUCGGAAGUGAAGAUGAAGCGAGGAUGAUGGUAUAUAAAAUUCACAUAAAUUCAACAAACACCAAAUAUGGAUUUGGGACACUUCUAUCCCAAGACAUUUUUCACAGAGUUGAAGCACUUCCCAGGGUUGUUAUGAUACUUCCUGAUUAGAAUAUAGAUCCGAUGCAACCUCAUCUUCAUCAUUUUCGUCACCGAGUGUUUUAGAGACUCACCUAACAUGGGAGGAGCUGCUGGACAGAUGCUGCUUCAGAUUCUUGUGGGAUGUGGCCAAGGCACUAUGAUUUAUUUAUAUUAUGCUUACGGAUAUUGCAUGUCGUGCAAGUGUCUUGGUUUUAUUGUUUAGUAUAAACACUUUUAAGUGUCUAAGUAUAUCAAAAAUAUCAAUCUCACACUUCAGUCAAUUAUUUGUGAGAAUUUCAUAAUCACCAGAGCUUUUCUUUUCUGAUAUUUGUUUGGCAUAAUGUUAAUGACUUGUGUUUUUAGGUGAAGCCCGUUAGAAUUCUUCUUGUGUUUUAUACAUAGAAAGACAGUUAGCUUUUCAUGAAUCAUUAGUACUUUUAAAAAGCAUUCACAAUCAAUGACUUGAAAAUUCCAGUAAUGAAAGUCCAAAUCCCAUUAAACCAGCAGUCAGUCCCUGAACUUAUUUCCAAAGAUGAAAUUUGGCACAAGGGCACUAAAACAUGCCAAUAGAGAAUUUGACAUGAGUAUAACCAUCCAAGCCAUUAAGGAGAAGUAAAGAAAACCAUCAAUGUCUUUCCUUAAUCCUACUAGCCAAUAGUGAAUAAAAGACCAACCAUUUGUAGGAAAGGAAAAGGAAGAAACACAAGUGUAUUUGCUAACACAUAUAAAGAAACUCUAUAAGCUCCAGUUUAAGUAUUUCUCAUAAAAAUUUUCUCUUCCAAUAGGUAAACUUUUUGUUGUUAUUUGACGAUAACAAAAAAUGUAAGGCUGCUUGAAAGCAAAGAAGUCACUUGUUUGGAAUGCUACUUGAUUGGCAUGAUAAGUUUUUGGUUUCUAACCUAUAUAUGUGAUCUUGUGCAUGAGAUGGGAUUGAAUUGAAAUUGUCAGAGAA